rnacentral:ncRNA from 1 species
ACAGUACAAACUGAUCAGGCCAUUAAACAUCAUGUUUAUGGAGCCGGGCCAUAUCUUUGGCAACAGGAUUCUAUAUACCUGUGGGACAGU